ensembl:lncRNA
CAUUCACAGAUGUCUUUACAGUCUCAAAAUCAAAAUCAGGGCAGAGAGUACCCCAGGAACUGAAGAGGACAGGGCCAGGCUGCUGAAAGCAGGUAGGAAUCAUGCCAGUGAAAGCAAAUGGUGGAGAAAAGUCAUCAAGAGAAGCAUCUUGAUCACAAUGAGUUGGUGUUGACAAAAAGCAGGCCAAAAAAAAGGAUGCAACCACAGGCCCCGCAGCUCCUCGCAACAAAAUGGCUGCCCGCAUCCUCGCAACAAAAUGGCUGCCUGCAACAUGCUGUAUUGGAGUGAGGGUCUGGAUGGCAUAGGCAGGCUCAGGGAUGCCACAACACAGCCGCUGGGCUGCCAGCAAGGAGCUGUGGCGAGGCAGUGGGUGCACCCAGAGGGACUGUGCCGGCAGAGGGUGGGUGUCAGCAGGACACCAUGAAGUGCAAGGCCCUGUGCUGGGCACAAAAUGGCGGUCACUGCAUGGGAGUGAGGAGGAGGUACAGGGCCAUGGCAGCCCCUGAGCUUGGAGAUGGCUCAGCAGGUGAGGUUGAGCUUCUUCACUGGAGAACAAGCUUUAGGAGCAGAAAGAAUACAGAUAAAUUCAGAGUGGUGAGUGUGACGGUUCAAAGCUACUGUCAAGUGUACUUACAGAUGAAAUGGUUUUGUCAAAAAUUGUGAAUAUAGAUUCUGCUGCUCCCACUUGCAAUAUGCUCAGCAGUGCUCUUACUAUUUUCAAGAGUUCAUCUCACAUUCAAUUAAUGGAAGAAUAUUCUCCUGUUUAUUCUAAUUAGGAUAUUUAUUCGUCAGGUGAGAAUUAAGGUAACAGCAAGAUACAGUACUUAUGAAAGGAUAAGGCUCAAACAUUUUAUUACUGUAGCAAAACCUCAUUUCUUGCAAGGAACUUCACAUAAAAAACAAUACUGCUAGUAAAUGAGCUUUUACAAAGGCCAGAAGUAAACCCCAAAUCAUAGCAGUCCUCUCCAGUCUAUAUUAUUCUGUAGGCCAUUCUUGUCUUGCCCCAUGCUUAAAGCAGGGUCAGCUACAGAGGUAAAUUAGGUUGCUUGGUGUUGCAUCUUGCUCAGUUUUGACUGUCUCCAAGAAUGGAAAUUUCAUAGCCUUUCUGAGUAACCUGUUCAAUAGGAGCUGCUGGCCUCCUAUUUACACCAUUGAAACUUUCAGCAGCCUGGAAGACAGGCUUAUCUUUUUCUCUCUGGGAAUUUCCUUCCAGUUUUAUCUACAGAAGAUAAUACAAAAAAUUCUUGCACUCCAGUCAGGAUGCAGUGAAUACACUGCUUGUAUUUCCAGCCUGUCCUGACUGAAAAAAAAUGCAGUUAGCCAGGGAGAUAGAUUUGGAAGCGGCAGCGUUAAGAGAGUCUAUGGUACCAUUAGCCGAAGGAAUAUGCAAAAUGCCAAAAACACGUCUUCUGCUGAGACAGCUGGUGACUUAAAAGUAGUUGCCAUUCUUUCCAUCAAUGCAGAAACACACGUGAAUGCUCAUUCUUAUGAAAUUGUCCCUCUGCCUGAUAAGGCUUCAGAUUCUAUGAGAAAUCCAAAAAGAAAGGCUUAGUGCAUCUCCUUGUCUAAGUAGGUUUUCAAAGACUUGUAGACCAUGCCAAAAGAAACUGGAAUGCUUUCCUUUCUGAAGUAGGUUGGAUUGUCCCUUGCAGAUGCAGAGAAA